rnacentral:lncRNA from 1 species
UUAUAUACUUGUGUCACAUACUUGUGUUUAAAUACUUGUGUUAUUAUACUUGUGUUUCUAUACCUGUGUUUAUAUACUUGUGUUUAUAUACUUGUGUUUUUAUACUUGUGUUUUUAUACUUGUGUCACAUACUUGUGUUUCUAUACUUGUGUUUCUAUACUUGUGUUUUUAUACUUGUGUCACAUACUUGUGUUUCUAUACUUGUGUUUCUAUACUUGUGUUUCUAUACUUGUGUCACAUACUUGUGUUUUUAUACUUGUGUCACAUACUUGUGUUUCUAUACUUGAGUCACAUACUUGUGUUUAUAUACUUGUGUUUCUAUACUUGUGUUUCUAUACUUGUGUCACAUACUUGUGUUUUUAUACUUGUGUCACAUACUUGUGUUUCUAUACUUGUGUUUCUGUACUUGUGUCAUAUACUUGUGUUUCUAUACUUGAGUCACAUACUUGUGUUUAUAUACUUGUGUUUAUAUACUUGUGUUUCUAUACUUGUGUUUUUAUACUUGUGUCACAUACUUGUGUUUCUAUACUUGUGUUUUUAUACUUGUGUCACAUACUUGUGUUUCUAUACUUGUGUUUCUAUACUUGUGUCACAUACUUGUGUUUCUAUACUUGUGUCACAUACUUGUGUUUAUAUACUUGUGUUUCUAUACUUGUGUUUAUAUACGUGUGUUUCUAUACUUGUAUCACAUACUUAUGUUUCUAUACUUGUGUCACAUACUUGUGUUUCUAUACUUGUGUCAAAUACUUGUGUUUCUAUACUUGUGUCACAUACUUGUGUUUCUAUACUUGUGUCACAUAUUUGUGUUUCUAUACUUGUGUUUCUAUACUUGUGUUUCUGUACUUGUGUCAUAUGCUUGUGUUUUUAUACUUGUGUUUUUAUACUUGUGUCACAUACUUGUGUUUCUAUCCUUGUGUUUCUGUACUUGUGUUUAUAUACUUCUGUUUAUAUACUUCUGUUUAUAUACUUCUGUUUAUAUACUUGUGUCACAUAAAGCUGAUCUCCUCAUUAUUUCCUUCAGUACUGGCCCCUCAUGAGAUAAUAUGUCAUACUGUUAUGAUCACUUUGACCACUAGAGGUCAGUAA